AUUGAGCGCUGGCGGUAUGCUUAACACAUGCAAGUCGAGCGAACAGAUAAGGAGCUUGCUCCUCUGACGUUAGCGGCGGACGGGUGAGUAACACGUGGAUAACCUACCUAUAAGACUGGGAUAACAUCGGGAAACCGGAGCUAAUACCGGAUAACAUAUUGAACCGCAUGGUUCAAUAGUGAAAGGCGGCUUUGCUGUCACUUAUAGAUGGAUCCGCGCCGUAUUAGCUAGUUGGUAAGGUAACGGCUUACCAAGGCAACGAUACGUAGCCGACCUGAGAGGGUGAUCGGCCACACUGGGACUGAGACACGGUCCAGACUCCUACGGGAGGCAGCAGUAGGGAAUCUUCCGCAAUGGGCGAAAGCCUGACGGAGCAACGCCGCGUGAGUGAUGAAGGUCUUCGGAUCGUAAAACUCUGUUAUCAGGGAAGAACAAAUGUGUAAGUAACUGUGUACAUCUUGACGGUACCUGAUCAGAAAGCCACGGCUAACUACGUGCCAGCCGCCGCCGUAA
rnacentral:rRNA from 1 species